AUAUACAUAUGUUGAGUUAUUGAGGUUUUCUUUUGUUGUAUAAUAAUGACUCAUAACUGUCUCUAAAGUACUUCACAGGAAAUAUACUCUGUAGAAAACUCCUAAUUGUUUGCAUAUUCCUUUAAAUUUGAAAACCCUCACAGAUGCAGUGCUAGAUGGUUAAAAAAACUGGUCCUUAUUCCUAUUCUCCAAACUCCAAGAAUGGAAAUCUGAAAAUUGAAAGCCCCACCUAAAGUCCUGACCAUGAACUUGGAAAAUGAUAUACCAUAUAGAACGAUGAUCAAACUCUAUAAAUGCACUCUUGUACUAUCUAUGCAUAUAUUCAAUAAAAUUUGCAUCGCUAAUUCUUACAUUAGCUGUUAAAAGCAUUUACUGUACAGUUUUUAUGAUCAUUAACUCAGCUGACAAAUAAUAGUUUACAUUUAUAUAUGUAUCUGUACGAAGAGCCACGUGGUGAUUGUAAUAGGAUAGGAUAUAUAAUAGCUACAACAGAAGUCUACUUUCCAUACAUAUUAUCUAUUUUGGUAAAUGUCAUUUGCAUAUGAUUCGGAAAACAUUACUGUCACAGAGUGGUAUAAAUCUGAAGUCAGGGAAAGAAUUAGACUUUGAUAAUUAAAGACCUUAUAAAACAAGGCAUAGUAGAUCAGUGGAUGUGGGCAUAGUAGACCUUAUCAGGGAACCAUUUAUUACCUGGUUACUGUAAUGCACCUUACCAUUCAUAUCACUCUACCCUCAUAAUAUAUCUACCACAAUCUAUUAUACUAUUACUCCCUCCAACCCUAAAUCUUUCUCUCUGCAUCAAAUUUUUCAACUUUCUACUUAAACUGUAUUUUUACAGCUCAAUUUUGUUUAACACCAUGCUUAAUCAUUCAUUUCAAGUAACUCAAAUUACAAAGGAUUAAAUAUAUAUUUUUUCCCAAAUUAUUUUAAAAAUGUGGAAAAUGAUGUUUGACAUUUUAGUUACUCUAUCAGGUAUUUCAAGCAAUUGGUGUUGUCAGAGGAUUUCUAAGACCAUAUUCUCGUAAGUUGUGAAAAUUUUCAAGACAAAUUUCUCUAGAAGCCCUUCUAAGAAAUAACUUGACUUCUUCCAUGACAGGAAAUGAACUUAUGCACAAGUUAGCUUAUGGGAAGAGGUAAGUAUAUUGUGAAGAAAGAUGUCCUGAGGGUGAUGCAAAAACAUGUUGUGGUUAUGCAAAAACAUGCAAAAAGAUGUCCGAUUAAUUUAUACAUCUUCCAUCAUUACAUCAUAUAUUUUUUUUAUUGAAUAGAUAAAACAUUAUUCUAAUUCACAAUCAAUUUUAAUUUUAUAAUUAUAAUAAAAAUUAUUUCAGAUAUUAAUAAAUUUUAAUUCAUAAAUUAUUAAAUAGUUUUCAUUAUAGUGGUGAAAGUUUGCAUGGUUUAAGUAACAAAAAAAAAACUCAUGUUAUGUGUUUGUCAUUUUGUUUGCCCUCUAAAUGUGGUCUCUAUUUUUGUAGAUUGUUUUGGCUAGUUUUGUUUCUGAUAGCAAGCAAUCCAAGUUUACAAAGCAAAUGGGGAAUGUAUCUGUAGCAGAAAAGAUUUCUACAAAUGGUGGCCAAAACAACUCAUUCGGCAAUUUGUUUUAAACUUUCUUAUUAUGCUUUUAGUCCACUCUUGUAGUUGAAUUUGAAAUGUAGACUUUGACAAUGAAUUCGCUCUGUCUAUUAUAGAUGUAUGAAGAAAAAUAUAGUACUAUUAAUGAUAUUUUUUUGGCAUCAAUACAUAUAAUUGCUUUUAUU
rnacentral:lncRNA from 1 species